UCAUGUUUUUCCCAAAGAAGCCAAGAUCUCAAAAAGGUUAUUAAAGCAAAUGCCACGACAGAUCAGACAAGCAGAGGAAGUGAAGCCCUUGAUAGCAUUAUCAAAGUGAAUCCCAAAGAAAGUGCAAACACCACUGGGAAGCAAGACCUCAAUGGGCUUAUUAAAGUAAAUCCUGAAACAAAUAAAAAUAUUAAGAGGUAAGUAAGUUAAAGCUUUUCAUUUCUCCUUUGACAUUUAUAAACUCAUUGGAAUUCUGAGUACU